AUAAGCCAACCGGAAGUUGGCGUACCCCGGGGGAGUGUUGUCAACGCGCAGUUCCACCGGACUGGCAACGCUUCUACGAAUACUAUUACAAAGGGAAACUGUAGUACCUAUAUGGACUUGGCAAACUGUCAAGGAGAUGAGAUGGCAAGAAAUUAGAAUAACGAGGCGUGAACAAAGACAAAUUGGCACAAUUCUUUAAUCUAAAACAAACUUAUGUCUAAAGUUAGUAAAAUCUUAAUCUAUUGUUAGUUAAUGAUAAAAGUUAAUAAGCUAUUUUCUAUUAGUACGCUUAACCUAAACGAACGGCGAGCAAUUCAUUACGGCAGUUAAAUCUAAAAUCACACAAAUAAUUAGUUGGUAUCCAUGCAACAAUAACCGUCAGAGUAUCAAUUGUUGUCUGACUCCGAGCGCGUAGUAAACGAAUUUUAUAACCGCCCCCACAUUGAACUCAAAUAAACGGUUUAUAAAAACGGAAUCUGCUCUUUGUUGUAUGGUGAGCCAACAAAAUCAUUUUUACAUCUUCAAUGCUGUGAAUAAGAGUUCAUCAAAGUCAGACGCAUUGGAAAUUUCACAUAACCACUUAAAUUUCCCUAUGCGGCUCGCAGCUGUGAUUUAAAAAAAAAUCGCGAUUUGGCCCGCAAUAUACUGCAGUUUGAGCACCAGUGCUAUAUUACGUGUCACACACGUAUCAAAUUAUUAAAUCACAAGCCACCGCUUAUGAAAUUUUGUAAACAAUUAUAUACGCAAUUGCACAACAUAGGGUGCAGAACCACUUGGGCACUCCCAUGAUUCACUUUGGCAUGG